rnacentral:rRNA from 1 species
ACGGGUGAGUAACGCGUGGGAACAUACCCUUUCCUGCGGAAUAGCUCCGGGAAACUGGAAUUAAUACCGCAUACGCCCUACGGGGGAAAGAUUUAUCGGGGAAGGAUUGGCCCGCGUUGGAUUAGCUAGUUGGUGGGGUAAAGGCCUACCAAGGCGACGAUCCAUAGCUGGUCUGAGAGGAUGAUCAGCCACAUUGGGACUGAGACACGGCCCAAACUCCUACGGGAGGCAGCAGUGGGGAAUAUUGGACAAUGGGCGCAAGCCUGAUCCAGCCAUGCCGCGUGAGUGAUGAAGGCCUUAGGGUUGUAAAGCUCUUUCACCGAUGAAGAUAAUGACGGUAGUCGGAGAAGAAGCCCCGGCUAACUUCGUGCCAGCAGCCGCGGUAAUACGAAGGGGGCUAGCGUUGUUCGAAAUUACUGGGCGUAAAGCGCACGUAGGCGGAUAUUUAAGUCAGGGGUGAAAUCCCGCAGCUCAACUGCGGAACUGCCUUUGAUACUGGGUAUCUUGAGUAUGGAAGAGGUAAGUGGAAUUCCGAGUGUAGAGGUGAAAUUCG